rnacentral:rRNA from 2 species
AAAUUGAAGAGUUUGAUCAUGGCUCAGAUUGAACGCUGGCGGCAGGCCUAACACAUGCAAGUCGAACGGUAACAGGAAGCAGCUUGCUGCUUCGCUGACGAGUGGCGGACGGGUGAGUAAUGUCUGGGAAACUGCCUGAUGGAGGGGGAUAACUACUGGAAACGGUGGCUAAUACCGCAUAACGUCGCAAGACCAAAGAGGGGGACCUUCGGGCCUCUUGCCAUCAGAUGUGCCCAGAUGGGAUUAGCUUGUUGGUGAGGUAACGGCUCACCAAGGCGACGAUCCCUAGCUGGUCUGAGAGGAUGACCAGCCACACUGGAACUGAGACACGGUCCAGACUCCUACGGGAGGCAGCAGUGGGGAAUAUUGCACAAUGGGCGCAAGCCUGAUGCAGCCAUGCCGCGUGUAUGAAGAAGGCCUUCGGGUUGUAAAGUACUUUCAGCGGGGAGGAAGGUGUUGCGGUUAAUAACCGCAGCAAUUGACGUUACCCGCAGAAGAAGCACCGGCUAACUCCGUGCCAGCAGCCGCGGUAAUACGGAGGGUGCAAGCGUUAAUCGGAAUUACUGGGCGUAAAGCGCACGCAGGCGGUCUGUCAAGUCGGA